rnacentral:rRNA from 1 species
CUGGCUCAGGAUAAACGCUGGCGGCGUGCUUAACACAUGCAAGUCGAACGGAGUAUCCUUCGGAAGAUUGAAGAGCUUGCUCGGAGAGAUUCUUGGAAUACUUAGUGGCGGACGGGUGAGUAACGCGUGGGUAACCUGCCUCACACAGGGGGAUAACAGUUGGAAACGACUGUUAAUACCGCAUAAGCGCACAGUACCGCAUGGUACGGUGUGAAAAACUCCGGUGGUGUGAGAUGGACCCCGCGUCUGAUUAGCUAGUUGGUGAGGUAACGGCCCACCAAGGCGACGAUCAGUAGCCGGCCUGAGAGGGUGUACGGCCACAUUGGGACUGAGACACGGCCCAAACUCCUACGGGAGGCAGCAGUGGGGAAUAUUGCACAAUGGGGGGAACCCUGAUGCAGCGACGCCCGCGUGAGUGAUGAAGUAUCUCGGUAUGUAAAGCUCUAUCAGCAGGGAAGAUAAUGACGGUACCUGACUAAGAAGCACCGGCUAAAUACGUGCCAGCCGCCGC